AUUGAACGCUGGCGGCAUGCCUUACACAUGCAAGUCGAACGGCAGCACGGGAGCAAUCCUGGUGGCGAGUGGCGAACGGGUGAGUAAUGUAUCGGAACGUGCCCAGUCGUGGGGGAGAACGUAGCGAAAGCUACGCUAAUACCGCAUACGAUCUAUGGAUGAAAGCGGGGGAUCGCAAGACCCCGCGCGAUUGGAGCGGCCGAUAUCAGAUUAGGUAGUUGGUGGGGUAAAGGCUCACCAAGCCGACGAUCUGUAGCUGGUCUGAGAGGACGACCAGCCACACUGGGACUGAGACACGGCCCAGACUCCUACGGGAGGCAGCAGUGGGGAAUUUUGGACAAUGGGCGCAAGCCUGAUCCAGCAAUGCCGCGUGCAGGAUGAAGGCCUUCGGGUUGUAAACUGCUUUUGUACGGAACGAAACGGUGAGCUCUAAUACAGUUUGCUAAUGACGGUACCGUAAGAAUAAGCACCGGCUAACUACGUGCCAGCCGCCGCGGUAA
rnacentral:rRNA from 1 species